UGCCCCAUGGCGCAAUUGGCUAGCGCGUCAGACUGUUAAUCUGGAGGCUCUGAGUUCGACCCUCAGUGGGGCAG
rnacentral:tRNA from 1 species